rnacentral:rRNA from 1 species
UACAGAGGGUGCAAACGUUAUUCGGAUUCACUGGGCGUAAAGGGCGCGCAGGCGGCCGAGUGUGUGAGGCGUGAAAGCCCGGGGCUUAACCCCGGAAUUGCACCUCAAACUACACGGCUAGAGCAUUGGAGAGGGUAGCAGAAUUCAUGGUGUAGCAGUGAAAUGCGUAGAUAUCAUGAGGAAUACCAGAGGCGAAGGCGGCUACCUGGACAAUUGCUGACGCUCAGGCACGAAAGCGUGGGGAGCAAAAGGG